rnacentral:rRNA from 1 species
GAUGAACGCUGGCGGCGUGCCUAAGACAUGCAAGUCGAGUGGGUUUAGACCCACGGCGAACGGGUGAGUAAUACCUAGGAACUUUCUUUAAGUCGAGAAUAUCCUCCCGAAAGGGAGUGCAAUACUCGAUGUGAUCGCAAGAUUAAAGUCGCAAGACGCUUAAAGUGAGGCCUGGGCACCAUCAGCUAGUUGGUAAGGUAACGGCUUACCAAGGCUACGACGGUUAGGGCCCGAGA